rnacentral:rRNA from 1 species
AGAGUUUGAUUCUGGCUCAGGAUUAACGCUGGCGGCGUGCCUAACACAUGCAAGUCGAACGGACGUCUUCGGACGUCAGUGGCGAACGGGUGAGUAACGCGUAGGUAAUGUGCCUCUGCGCUGCGAAUAACAGCCUGAAAAGGCUGCUAAUACGGAAUGGUCCUCUUUGGGGGCAUCCCCAUUGAGGUAAAGAUUUAUCGCGCGGAGAUCAGCCUGCGUCCUAUUAGUUAGUUGGCGGGGUAACGGCCCACCAAGACGACGAUGGGUAACUGGUCUGAGAGGAUGAACAGUCACACUGGAACUGAGAACGGUCCAGACUCCUACGGGAGGCAGCAGUGAGGAAUUUUGCGCAAUGGAGGAAACUCUGAACCGCAGCAACGCCGCGUGAGUGAUGACGGCCUUCGGGUUGUAAAGCUCUGUCGAGAGGGACGAGUAGGGACGGUACCUCUCAAGAAAGCCCCGGCUAACUAUGUGCCAGCCGCCGC